rfam:Oryza rufipogon genomic scaffold, chr06
UUUGAGUGCAACCAUGAGUUUACGUGUCCAAUUUUAAUCGUUCAUCUUAUUAUUUUUUUAUGAUUAGUAUUUUUAUUGUUAUUAGAUAAUAAAACAUGAAUGAAACCAUCGGCUGAAGGAUUGAAUAGCAAUCUAUAAUACUUUAUGUGUGACUUAUAUUUUUUAUUUUUUUAGAAAAAAAAUUAAUAAAAUAGAUGAUUAAAAUUGGACACGAAAACUUAUGGUUACGUUUAAA